CAAAGAAAACUCAAAUUUCUCCUUCUAGUUGUGGCACAAUCUAUUGCUGGAGAGCUAACAUGGCAGUGAUGUGGCCAAAGUGAGCUGACAUAGCAGUUGUUGAUGCAAUAGAAAUCUGAUGCAAAUAGGAGCGCAGAAAGACAUGGUGAGCGCAAUUUGGUUUGGGGCAGAUUUGACUUGACCCGUUGGGUUUUAAAGCUUGAGGUGUCGGAAUGAGUUUCCAACCGUAGGAAUGGGCAGAUCGGAGACAGGUGAGCUGCUGGAAUGGAUUAGAUGCCAGAGAAAUCUGGAAAAUUUGGGGGUCCAGAUUCGGGUCAAGAUCUGACUCGGUCGGAUCUUCUAUUUUGGGCUGCUGCAGGUGAUCGGAAUGUCACCAGAAAGGUUGCCUGGAUGUCGCCGGUGGAUUGGUAAUGGUGGUGGGUCCAUUUGGUGAAUGGACAGUGAUUGGUGUUGAAGGGACAGUG
rnacentral:misc_RNA from 1 species